GGGGCAUUACCGGACUUGUAACUCAUGUUAGAACAGUAAAAUUUUGAACUUUUUCUUGAAAUAAAGAUCGUUCGUUUAAAUAAGUACUAAGCACAACCAGAGGUAAAAUUUAAACUUCACUAAGUAAACAUUCAAAAGAUGCCAUUUUCGCAUGGCUUAUAUACAUUAACCAAAGAUAUUCUUCCGCCACUAGUCUAUUCUAUACAUGCCAUAAGAUAAUCCAAAACGUAGCAGUACCAAACAAUGGAUAGUGAUAGUGUGACUAGUUGCUGAUGAUCCCCGAGCUUGUAGCUUCCAAAUGAGAUCUAUAAAACAGAGCAAACAGAGUAAACGGAGUAAGCAUUACAAUGCUUAGUAAGUUUUAAGCAGUGUCAACAGAUAACAAUCAAAUUAUAACAUAGUUGUUCGUAUAGUUUAUUUCACUCUUCCUUCGGGCAUACCAUCCCUUUUUCCGAAUAUGCACAUCUCAUCAUAUACAAUAGGCAGAUAAACUUUCAUAUAAAAGUGAGCUCAUGUGACAUAGAUAUAUCGUAUGAUUUCACAUAACCUCUCACACUGAUCCGAUGUCACAUAAUCAUAGGAAUAGUCUCAUAGAUUGCUCUCUAUGCAUCACAUAACUACCUUAUGAUUUAGUGCAAAUCAAGCUCACAUAUAAACUUGGAGUACAUACUUGUUUAACCUUUCGCAUUGAAUAUAUUUAUAAGCAAUUCUUAUUACGAAGUCUUACCCGGACAUAAUCUCCACACGAAAUUAUCGGGUCUUACCCGGACAAAAUCCCCACACGUAGUCAUCGGGUCUUUAGAGCUCAGAUAUAGUACGAGCACGAAGCUUACGGACAUUAAUCAGUGAUAAUAUUCUCGCAUAAAGCCUGCGGGGUUUUAACCCGGAUAUAGUGCUGACACAAAUGCCCUUCGGGACGUAUCACAUUUAUACACUUUCACAUCCAUCACGUUGGCCACUCGGCCCUGUCACAUAUAUACACUUUCACAUUCAUCACAUCGGCCAUUAGGCCUUAUCACAUAUAUACACUUUCACAUUCAUCACAUCGGCCAUUAGGCCUUAUCACAUAUAUACACUUUCACAUUCAUCACAUCGGCCAUUAGGCCUUAUCACAUAUAUAUACACUUUCACAUUCAUCACAUCGGCCAUUAGGCCUUAUCACAUAUAUACACUUUCACAUUACCAACCCUUUUAUUCAUACACAAAGAUCAACUUAGCCAAAGGCCGGUAGCUCAUUUAUCAACUGAGCGAAUACUUAUUUGUAAGGGCUCAACUAAUUCAAAGCACAUACGAAACAUACCUCAAUGUUUGGAUGUUUCAAGCGUAUUAACUAAAAUUUUUACAGCAAGAUCAUUCAUUCCCAAAUCACAUACCUUCGGAAUUUAACCGGAUAUAGCUACUCGUUCAAAUGCCUUUGGGACAUAGCCCGGUUAUAGUAACUCGCACAAAUUCCUUCGGGACUUAACCCGGAUUUAGUAACUAGCACAAAUGCCUUCGGGCUUAGCCCGGAAUUAGUAUCUCGCACAAAUGCCUUCGGAUCUUAGUCCGGAUUUAGUAUCUCGCACAAAUGCCUUCGGAUCUUAGUCCGGAUAUGGUCACUUAGCACAAAGCCUUCGGGACUUAGCCCAGACAUCAUUCAAAUAACCAUGCACAUUUAACAAUAAAUCAUGGCACAUUCGUAUUUCAUUUUCGUUAGCAAAACUCAAACACAAGACACUUAUCAUUCUUGCAAUUUCGGCUCAAUAGCCACACACAAAGAGCAUGAUUUUGAUUUGCUUAAAACAUGAUCUAAUCAAAUCAUAAUUUAAGCUCUAUUACUCAAGAACUUACAAUAUCACGAUUUAGAAUUCAAGUAUGGGUUUAAUCAAUAGCUUGUGAGCAACUAAAACAAGUUUAUCAAGGUUCACAACAUAAUCUCAAAUUCAGCACAAGCUGUUUUUCCUGAGCAAUAGUCACUAAAUUAUUUAUAACUAGAGCUAAAAAACUCCAAAUCACUUUCCGUUAAUUUUUCCUGAAUAUAGACUCGUAUAUCUUCCACCCAUAAAAUUUCCAGAAUUUUAGGUUUGGCCAAUCAAUACCAGAUUUUUCUUAAAGUUUCCCCUGUUUCACUGUUUGACUAAUCUAACCACUCUUCACUACGAAUCAAAUUUCUCAUUUUACAGAAUUCAAAAUGUGUUUUAUUUGAUUCCAUUUGAAACUAGACUCAUUAAUGAGUCUAAGCAUAUAAAUUUUAUCUUAUAAACAUUUUUUUACAAUUUAUAAUGAUUUUCUAAAAACAGAACAGGGGAUUUCGGAGUCAUUCUGACACCGUCUCACACAACUUUAAAUAUCUCAUUAUCGGAAAUUCCUUUGCUUACACGGUUUCUUUUAUAAGAAACUAGACUCAUUAAGCUUUAAUUUCAUGUCUCAUUCAGCCUCUAAUUCAAGUCCAUAAAUUUAUGGUGAUUUUCUAAAGUCACGUUACUGCUGCUGUCCGAAGCAGACUAUUUCAAAUUACCCUUAAAUUCCCAAGCUCAAACACUUAAGAACUUACCAUUUGAGCUUAGAACAUAUCAUGGCCACAUCAUAUCUUAUUAAAUCAACUCAUCAUGUCCUAUUAUAAUUGAAUUUACUCAACGUUUAAACACUUAAAACUUACCUUGGAUGUGGUCGAACAAUUUCGGCAGCUAUUCGAUCACUUCUUCCCUUCCCUUAUCCAACUUUGGUCCUCUAAGCUCUUGAGCUUAAUUUAACAAAUAAAUUGAUUUAAUCAUUUGAGCAUCAAAAGAGGAACUCAAGGUACUUAGCCCAUAUAUACAUACAUUAGACAUUAAAGUCACAUACAUAUGAAAUCAUAAAUCAAUUCAACAUAUUAGCCCACACUCUCUUUUAGCCGAUUGUCUAAGCCAAGAUAAAAGCAUCAAUAUGCUUGCCUCUAGCCGAAUACAUGCAACACCAAGCAAGAAUGAUGCAUCCAUGGCCGAGUAUCAUCUUCAUAACUUUACAAAAACAUUUGCCAUGAGCUAGCUUCUAUACUUGGUGGCCACUCCAAAUAUACAAAGAUUUUCAAUGAUAGAGCAUUAACAUACCUUAAUACAUCAAAAUAAUUAAAUUCUUCCCAUGGCACACUAAAACCGAAUAUGUCUUAUUCAAAUAUAAAUUCUCAUAUUUCAUUUAUUUAACCAUUUAACCCUCCUAUCAAAUAAUUUUCACAAACUAAUCUUAAACUCAAAAUCACAUAAAAUCGUAACACAAAAGGCAUUCAUCUAACACUUGAUUUCUAAAUUCUAACAUCAAACUCAAAUUUCUUAGCUCAUCAACUCAUGGCCGAACAUCAAUUAUUCACCAAAACAAAAAUUAACUCAUGGGUUUUAGAGAAAAUUAAGUAAGGAAUUCAAUGAUACUAAAAAUUAACAAAAACAACCUGAAUUUCACCUUGAAUUUUUGCUUCCAAAUGGCCGAAACUUCAAAGCCACAAAUUUUAUUUUCUUUCUCCUUUGUUCGGCCUCCAAGAUGAACUACAUGCAUGUUCUUUUUUUCUUUUUUUUUAUGCCCCAUACCGUCCAUAUCAAUUGUCUAAGGUUAAAUAUCAUCACAAAUACUCCAACUUACAAAAACAACUUCAAUUCGGCCCUGAAGAUACAAACAUGCAUGGCUUUCCAUUUUAUGUUUUAUAAUACUUAUUUUUAUGUUUUAUAAUACUUAUAAAAAUAAUUAUCUCACAAAUAACUUUAAAAUAAACAUAUAAAGACAUCAUGCAUUAAGCCAUUACCAUCCAUAUAUUUAUUAAUGAUAUAAUUGCCAUUCAAAACCUCAAUAUUCUAAAGACAUAACACUUUAACAUUUUCAUGAUAGCAUGCUUAUUAAUCAAUUGAUGCAUUUUAAUCCUUUUUAAUGACAUAAAGAAAGAAAGAAAAAUAUUUACCAAGAGUUUCAAACUACUUGGCCGAAUAUCAAACCUCCAAACAACCAAAAAAUUUAACUCAUGGAAUGGAUAGAAUUUGAACAAAUCACCAAAAUUAUAUAUAAAUUUUCAAGAAUUUCAAAGUACUUACCUCUUUCUAAAUAUUCUCCAAGCCGAAAUCAUACAAAGAAAUUUUUUUCUUCCUUCUAAUCUCAAGUUACGGCAAUGGUAGAGUGAGGAUGAACCAACUUUGUUUUUAUCACCCAUUUCUUUUAAUAUAAGUUCAUAUUUCAUAUUAUUUAUUCAUUUAACAUUUAAUUUAUUAAUAUAAAAGGCAUAUAUUUUGUAUCCCAUGCUCCUUAUUUUAUCAUACUUCCCAUGAAACACUAACUUAACAUGUUUAUGACAUGUUCUUGCCCAUCACACUUGGUCUACCAUACUUGUCAUGGCCGGCCACUACUAAUUAGGGGGGAAAUUGACAUGCAAGUCCCCCCUUUUUAUUUCAUGCACUAAUAGAUCCUUAUGCUUUGACCUAUCACAUUUCAAAAUUUUCUCACAUAAGUCCUAUUUGAUAAAAUUCACUUACUAUUAACAAAAUUCAAACAUGAAAUUUUCACACAUGCAUAUGUACAUAUAAUGAGCAUCAACUAUGACGGUUAAUUAUCUUUAUGACUCGGUUUAGUGGUCCCGAAACCACUUUCCGACUAGGGUCACUUUAGGGGUGUCACAGAUUAUGCUUAUUCCAAAGAUUAUUAAUCCUUCUAAUCUGACUCAUUUUCGGCCAAUUAGUCUCUGUAAUGUUAUUUAUAAACUUGUGGCAAAGGUGAUUGCAAAUAGAUUUAGAGGAGUCAUUGAUAAAUGUAUUGAUGAAGCACAUAAUGCAUUUGUGCUAAGGAAACUCAUAACAGAUAAUGCACUAGUGGCCUAUGAAGUUUUACAUUCAAUGAAACAGAAGAGAGGGGGGAAGAAGGGAUUUAUGGCCAUCAAGUUAGAUAUGAGUAAGGCCUACGACAAAGUAGAAUGGAAUUUUAUUCAAGAAAUUAUGAGUAGAAUGGGUUUUUCUCAAAAAUGGAUUGAAUCUAUUAUGAAAUGUAUCUUUAGUGUUUCUUAUUCAGUAGUGGUUAAUGGUAACAAAAGAGAUAUAUUCUAUCCAACAAGGGGACUUAGACAAGGAGAUCCAUUAAGCCCUUUUUUAUUUCUGAUAUGUGGAGAGGGUCUAUCAGGUCUAAUGCGAAUGGCUAUUAGCGAAGGAGUUAUAAAAGGUGUUAAAGCUAGUAGAAGUGGCCCCAGGGUGUCUCAUUUACUAUUUGCUGAUGACUGCAUAAUGUUUUAAGAAGCAACAAGAAGGGGAGUAAGAGCAAUCAAGCAGAUUUUGCGUGAAUAUAAAAAUAGUUCAGGUCAGUUCGUAAACUUUGAAAAAUCAGCAGUAUUUUUUAGCAACAACAUAUCUGUGGAAGUUAGGCAAAUAGUGAUCACCCAAUUGGGAAUCCACAGCUCCAAUGAAUUAGAAAGGUAUUUAGGACUGCCAAGUUUAGUUGGGAAAAGGAAAAAAGAAUCUUUUCAAGCAUUUAAGGACAAAAUGAAACAGCGGAUUGAUAAUUGGUGUAUGAGAUUACUGUCUCAAGGUGGAAAGGAAAUAUUUAUUAAAUCAGUUUUACAAGUGAUACCGACUUACUCAAUGGCUUAUUUUUUUAUUACUGAAGACAUUAUGUGAUGAAAUGGAAGGCAUUGUAGCCAAGUUUUGGUGGCAAAAGGGACGUGGAAAGAAAGGAAUUCAUUGGUGUUUAUGGAGAAAUAUGUGUUCUUUAAAAGAAGUUGGAGGUAUGGGUUUCCGAAUUUUUUGCCAAUUUAAUGUUGCGUUAUUAGCCAAGCAGGGCUGGAGCCUUAUUAAUAAUCCGAGUUCCUUAUUAGCCAGAGUUUUUAAAGCCAAAUAUUAUCCAUAAUCAAAUUUUUUAAACGCAUAGUUGGGUUAGUUACCUUCAUAUACCUAGAAGAGCAUUUAGGCAGCACGAGGGCUCAUUCAGGAUGGGUUGUGUUGGAAAGUCAGUCGAGGGACCGAGAUUGAUGUCUGGACUGAUUGCUGCAUUCCUGGAUGUGAAGCCAUUGGUAGACAAGGUAGAGAGACAAACAGUGAUGUCCUAUUAGUUUCGGAUUUAAUCAAUAAUACUAGUAGGACUUGGAAGCGAGACCUGAUCAAUAAUACCUUUCAAUCAGGCAUAGCGCAAAAAAUUUUGAAGAUUCCUUUGGCAGAGUCAGAACAUGUUGACUUUCAGGUGUGGAAAGAGGAACCUUCAAGGGAGUUCUCAGUAAGAAGCGCCUAUAAACUAUUACAUCAUUCUAGCUCGAAUCCUAAUAUUUAUCCAUUACAACCCAAAAUAAGAAACUUCUAUAGAAAAUUGUGGGAUUUACAGCUACCGGGUAAAAUAAAGAUACUAGUUUAGCGAAUUUCCUGGAACUACAUCCCUUCCCUAAUAAAUCUAAGAUCCAAGAAAGUAAUAGAGAAUGCUCUGUGCCCUCGGUGCAGACUCAAAGAGGAAGACAGUAACCAUAUCUUUAGAUUUUGUCCUGCAAUCAGUGAAAUAUGGAAUCUCAUUAAUCUCUCUUAGACCAUUGAUCAUGAUAAUCAAAGUUUCUAGAAGUGGCUUAUCUGGGUUUUUGAAAGGAGUACAAUGGAGCAAUGUCGGUCCUUUUGUUGUGCGCUAUGGUGCGUUUGGAGUUCCCGAAAUCAGCUUGUACAUGAAAAGAAAAUCAUACCAGUUAGGGAUUUAGCAAGGAAAGUCAGCAGUUACAUAGCAGAACUGGAAGGGAUCCGAAUGAAAACAUUUACCUCUUCUUCCAAAAGGGACAACAGUUAUACUAGGGCGACGGAGGGUACCACAGUUCAGUUUGAUGCCGUUUUUGACAAAAGAAAUGAUAGAUCUGCCUCAGGUAUAGUCGUUCGAGACUAGACAGGAGCUUUAAAAGCCUCAAAGUCAGUUAUACAUGAGGAUACCCCGACCCCGUUCGCAGCAGAAGCCCUCGCAGGAUUAGAUGCCAUUAAGUUAGUAAUAGAAAUGAGGUUAACAACAGUAACAAUAGAGAGGGACUCGAGAAUAGUCAUUCAAAAAUGUCAAUCGACAGAAAUUGAUAAGUCGGUCCUUGGGGUGAUUAUUUAUGACAUACAGACCAGAAAAUCCAGGGGUUCAAGACGUUACUUUCAAGUUUAUCCAUAGAACGAAUAACAUUCAAGCCCAUAAUCUAGCAAAAAAAGGGUUGGAGAGAAGGGAGGACUCAUACCUGGGAGGGAAGACGACAAUUCAUAGAGUUGCAGACUCAGAGGGAAGAUGGAGAGAAUCGCCAGAUUGAAGAUGAAUGGACAAGGAGUAGGGUGCAGUUAAGGGUAGCAAGGAAUUGAUAUCUUAGGGAACGACUAUCUGCAAAGGCAUGGCUGUUGGGACGUGAAAAGACGAGUAAAGAAUUAAAUGGCCAGGCUGUUAGAUGUGACUGGGAGAUUUUCUGUUGAUUUCCUUUUGUUUUUCUAUUUUUUUAUUCUUUAUUGUCUUUUAUCAUCAUUUCUGAGAAACGGGCUAGCUAUUAAGGAAGCCCAACUUAGUUUGUUUUGUUUGUUUGGCAGUCGGACUUAAGCCCAAAUGUUAAUUUGGGUAUUGGUUUUAUUCUAUUUGUAAAGAGCCC
rnacentral:lncRNA from 1 species